AAUUGCCCAUACGUUUGAUUGGUAAAAAUGCAGCUUUACACGUGUUUUUUUAAUGUUUUCAACUAUGAACAGGGACACAUAAUGCACUCAGAAGAUCGGGGGCAAAAGACACCAGUGAGUGCACUGCAAACUAGAAUGAAUUGAAUUAAUCAAUUUUCAUUAACUGGUGCCUAUUACCCAAUGAGCCCUUUUAGCUGGCAUUUGAAACAGUGACACUGCUUUGAGUUGGUAUAAACCCAUGAAGCUGCUUCCAUCUCGUAGCUCUUUCAGUGCAAUUUAAGCUCGUAACGGGAUUUUACACUGCAAUGAGUGCAAUGGAAUUAUGUUAUGUUACUUUUUUGCACGGUUUUGUUGGGCCGCGUGCGCCAAAAGUCAACCGAUGGACAAUAAUCAACCAUCUAAUACUCAAGAUCUAGUGUUAUCGACUAUUGUAUCGUGGGGGGAAUGUGAUAUUCCCUUAUUGGUUAUCUAGCUAUAUAUAUCUACAAACUUCACACAUAUUUAGAAACUGCUUACACCGAGGAUAGUUUUGUAAGCCUAUUACACGAAACGACACCAUCGUUCCCGUUCGUUGGCCUGGCGAGCGAUCAUUGCCCUGUCCUGCCGAACCGCUCUAACUAACACAUUGGCACGCUGACGCUGGGACUGUCAGCGGUGAGUGACUGCAGUAACGCGUGAUCGACACGCACAACUUCGCUAAAGAUUGGUCAAUUGGUAGGAAAAAUCUUCCUUAUGGAUCUUUAAAAUCAUAUAUGAACAAUAAUGAACCAAUUCCUAAUUACUAUUUCCAGGAUAAUGGCGUAGUUCGAUUAACAAAGACCCUAUAGGACAAAAGAUUGAUCAUAGAGCAAAAUGCAGAGGAGUUUAGCGUUCAGUGAGAAGCAUCCAGUUUUGAAGAAUAAAUAGCAACUUAGUUUCACUAUAAGUCAAAUAUAUCGUUCAACUAUCCAACGAAGUAGCUUUAUUCAACUAGGUCGUCUCUACAACUUCCGCUUUGCACCAACUGAAAUCCUUUUAACUUCAGAUUUCUCAUUAACUUUUUCGCAGUAUUUACUAAGCGGUGCGGUUUAUUAUGUGGGUUUUUAUAUAUAAAAGAAAGGGAAAAAGUGCGUUCUUUCUUAUGCUAGUUUAACUUAUCCAAUUCUCCGAUUAGGAUCAAAUAUCAUAUACAUCGUUGAUUUAAAAGUAUCGUGCAAUGGCGCAAGCAAUCCUAUAGCUUGAAAUUAUUUGAACAUGAUUUUUGAUUGCUUCCUUCGCUAGUAACACAAAUCGGCACGUAACAAGUCAAUCGUCUCAUGUACCGCAUUUGUUACACCCCAGAAUAACUACAGCGCAUGAAACUCAAACAUUUUUAAAAAAUAAAAAUCCAGUCACGCCAGUUGGAAUAAAUCAUAAGGCUAAGCAGUAACUACCAACUCGUACGAACCUGAAGUACGAUUCAGUACGAUUUGAGCGCGUAUAGAGGUAUUUUCAGUGAAGUGAUCACAAUGAAAUUGGUUCUGUUGCUUUUCAGCAUGUUUUUCUUGGCUGGCGUAUCCUACAGUCAAAUGCGAAUUCGUGUACCAAAGGUAUGCCCAGCAGGGCAUAUGCUCGAUCAUAGGGAAAUAUGCAGAAAGAUUAUGCGCCCAGGGAGAUAAAUUCAUAUUUGAAGAAUAAAUAUUGACUCACUUUCACAAAACUACCUCCUGCGAGCGAAAUACGAGGCUAAUCGUUUCAUAUGCCGAUCUGUUGUCACGUGUUAAUUUUCUUCGUGCAUCGCGUUUGAAUGGUUAGCUUCUUUGUAAGUUUUGUGCGUAAGUGUGAGACUAUGUAAAUCAAUUAUUGUAAUAUGUAAAUCUAUGGAGCGUGUAUACAUCGAGUGGGCUUAUGAGGUCCGUCGAUUUAUUAAUAAAUAUACAAAUAUCUUCUCUUUGGGUUCUACUUUCUGACAGCUCGUUGUUUAAUUGUUACCUCACGGUGGCCACUAUGAGAUAUUGGGAUUAUAUGAUACUACUAUUCUAUAAAGUGGCCUCAUUCAACUCGCUCACCUGUACAAAGUAUACGUUACGGAAACUAAGCCAAAGUCAUAGAAUCUAUUUGACUAUAUUAAGCGCUGCUUACGGUUACAGAGUUUAUUUUUGCAUUUCUGAUACCUCAUUCACUCCUCACAGUAUUCACCAAGCGUUAAUGAUCAUUGAAGUAUGCCGCUUUAUAAUAAUUGAAAGUAUACCGCUCAAGAUCAUCGAUAAUCCUCCGGAUCAAUCAAUCUGAUAUUUAGUGGUGAAUUUGUGCAUUUUUUCUCUCCUUGUUGUGAGCAUAGCGUAAGCCUCGUAAAUGAAUGGAAGGUAUGAGAGUAGUCAGCGAGAAUAAAACAUUUGUUUGCCUGAUUGUUCUUAUAAUAAUACAUAGAAUAAGUCUCACUCAGAUAUCACCUUUGAAGGUUUCCUUAGGCUUAGGAAGGCUUCAAUAAAUUGUACAAUAAAACAAAGAAACCUUCAUAUAACGCCUCAUAUCAUUUGAUCUUGAUUGUUUAUUGCUUCUCUUCUGAGUAACAUACAAAUCUCAUUCGUCUCAGGUACUGCAUUCAUUACACCCUAAGCGAUUACAGCGAAUAGAAUUUCAACAUCGUUUUUAAAUGAAAUGAGGUUAACAUGUUUUGUAAAUAAAAUACAUUACUUCGAGUUGGAAUUAUUGAUUGCUGAAGAAGCUGCUGCUCCUCGAACAGUGUGAUUUAAACGCGUAACGGGAAUUCCAGUGAAGUGCGCGAAAUGAAAUUGGUUCUCUUGCUUUUUAGUGUGGUUUUGUGGGCUAACGGGUCCUACAGCCAACCGAUCAUGUCUGACAGUUCCUCAAAGCUACCCAAUCCGGAAAAUCCAGUAUUUUUGAUAAAGCUAGGUAAAUUGAGAAAGGACAUAUUUCCACCAAGGGUAUGCCCUCCGGGACAUAUGCCCGAUCUAAAUGGACAAUGCAGACUGAUGAUGCCCUGGGGAGAUUCCAUUCCAUCAGUUCAUGAAUAUGAUCUUUUUCUUCCACCAUCGCUAUGUCCACCAGGACAAAAGCUCGAUCGUCACGGAAAAUGCAGACCGGUGAUACCCGCGAGAUCACCGAUAAAGGAUUGGCUCGAUUGGCAAACAUCAGCCAAUUAGGAAAACGGCAGG